rnacentral:rRNA from 2 species
UGGAGAGUUUGAUCCUGGCUCAGGACGAACGCUGGCGGCGUGCUUAACACAUGCAAGUCGAGCGGAAAGGCCCUUCGGGGUACUCGAGCGGCGAACGGGUGAGUAACACGUGAGCAACCUGCCCUUAGCUUCGGGAUAGCUCCGGGAAACCGGAAUUAAUACCGGAUAUGACUGCGGCCGACAUCGGCCACGGUGGAAAGUUUUUCGGCUAGGGAUGGACUCGCGGCCUAUCAGCUUGUUGGUGAGGUAACGGCUCACCAAGGCGACGACGGGUAGCCGGCCUGAGAGGGCGACCGGCCACACUGGGACUGAGACACGGCCCAGACUCCUACGGGAGGCAGCAGUGGGGAAU